AAAAACUAUUUGGGAACCUUGUAAAUAGGAGUUGCAAAUCCCGCCACAAACUUAAUAAUUUUGUCUUGAAUUAAAAAAAAUUAAAAUAAAAUGGAUAGACGACUGCGACUAAAUGAAGUAAAGAAUUUUUCGAUGUUUUCUACACAGCAUCUCUGUGACUGGCUUAAAAGACUUUAUUCUCUUGUCCAGGCUGGGGGAAACCAAUAUCUACCAGUUUUACAAAUCGAAUUUCUUGAACAAGAGAUCCAAUUCAGAAAGGACUUACAUGAAGUUGAAAUUAAAAUGAAAAAACUUUCUUUAGAAGACCGUCAAGACCAGUACAGUCAACAUCCUAUUACUUUUAUGGAAGCCCAUGUGGUAGUGACGAAUACUUCUGUUCAAGAACCAAAUACAUAUAACAGCAUGGAAUAAUGUAAAAUUGAGUGAUUAUUACAGUCUUAGAAGCAUGCUCUGUAUUAAAAAUUCACUCAAUUUUGCAAACUCACCUUAUAUCUAAUGUAUUGAUUAGUUCACUUAGUUACUAAAUGUUGUAAAUUAAAGUUUGUUAAUGUAA